GGGGUGGCUCAAAGCCUGCUCCUGCCCACAGCACCCAUGGAGGUUUCCCAGUGGAACCUGGGAUAAGGAGAUCCGGGAGCAGCAGACAUUGGUCAGAAGGAAGUCCCUGCCACUGGCAGUGAAUUGAUGGUCACCAUGGGACUACACAGGGAAAAAAUGAUGCUAAUACAUUGGGAAGAAGAGGAAGUCAGAGAGGGUUCUGAUAUUUUAAAAACCCGGUAAAAGCAAUACUGGAAUUCAGGUCAUUAACUUCAGCUGAAAACAAAGAGAAAAAUCGACUCCUGUCAUUAAGCCACAGAAUUUUGAAACAGGUGUAUGGUAAAGUGCAGAGUGGUUUUUUUUUUAAUCACCA